GUGUAAUAUUUGUUUUGAGAAACCCUGAAAGUAAAAUUAUCCAUCUUAUUUCAAACAAACAGCAAUAGACAUGUCGGUUGAAUUGAAGAUGGAUUUUAUAGAGCAGUACAACAAUCCAGACAGUCCUGAAUCCAAAACCCUUUCAAGAAGUAUCACUGUAUUGCUUGAGCAGCAGUAUCGCAAACUGGAUGGCUUCUUUAGUGUUUCUGUGACAAAAUUCAGGAAAGGAAGUGUUGUUACAGAUUUUACUGUCAAGGUCAAAUCUGGAUCACUUGAUGCGACUGCACUGAAUUCAGUCAAUUCAAAUCUCCCGGCAGCAUUGAUAUCAAUUGCUCCUGUUAUUGGCUCAGUGACUGCAAAGUACUACAGUUCAACUCAACUUGGGUCAGAUGUAAAUAAGUUCAUUUAUACUGGUAAAACCAUGACACUGACAUGUGACCCUACCGAGGCCAAAAUGGGAAACACUAAGAAUCCUGUAUGGAAAUUUAACAAUGUUGUAAUCGGGUCACAUCGGCACAAACCGUUUAUUUCUGGAAGUCAGUUCAAGCUGGCAGUGGAAAAGGUUAUUCUUGGUGAUGCUGGUAAGUUAAAAACAAAUUUACAAAGUUAAAAAUAAUUACUAAAAUGUGAAAUUUAAAUAUUACAGUGUAUCCUUUAUUCAAGUAUGCGUCUUGAGAGCUCAAUUCU